CUCCUCCUUCGAGUUUCUGUAAGCUGCCCCUUUGUGCCUCCCUUUUCUCUCUAUGCAGUAGUAUUGAUUGGACAAUAGUGGUAGAUUAAGAACAGGAAUAAAGAGAACGCGAUUUAUAUAAACUUGUUGAUGCUUUCCAGUUUGUCUUGUGUAAUGAACUUUUAAAUUCUUAUUUUGAGGGAAGGGCAGGUUCCUUACCAGAUUGCUCUUGCACAAUCCAAAACAGCAAGUGGGUUGAUAAGCUUCUUCAUCCUGGAUUACCAGGAUACCAGAAUUUGGACCCUCAGGAGGAGGUAAUGAAAGAGCUGAAGGAUCUCUCUGAUACAUUGAAAGAGGCCUUGUCACAUACAUCUUAAAUUCCUUUUUCUGUGAUGUCUAAAAUGAGUAUUGAAUCAAAAUAGAUUGAGCAACCCUGGAAAUAUUGAACUCAAUAAGUUGUAGAACUAGAGAUUUGAGAUUGGAAUGCUAAGUCAACCUCCGGAAGAUCGUAUAUAUUCCUAAGUCAAAUUUCUAGGAAGUUCCAAUGCAAU
rnacentral:misc_RNA from 1 species